UUUGUUUGGUGGCGAUAGCGAAGAGGUCACACCCGUUCCCAUACCGAACACGGAAGUUAAGCUCUUCAGCGCCGAUGGUAGUCGGGGGUUUCCCCCUGUGAGAGUAGGACGCCGCCAAGCAGU
rnacentral:rRNA from 1 species